AUUGAACGCUGGCGGCAGGCUUAACACAUGCAAGUCGAGCGAGCGGCGGACGGGUGAGUAAUGGCUGGGAAACUGCCUGAUGGAGGGGGAUAACUACUGGAAACGGUAGCUAAUACCGCAUAACAUUAGAUGGGCCCAGAUGGGAUUAGCUAGUGGGUGGGGUAAAGGCUCACCUAGGCGACGAUCCCUAGCGGGUCUGAGAGGAUGACCGGCCACACGGGAACUGAGACACGGUCCAGACUCCUACGGGAGGCAGCAGUGGGGAAUAUUGCACAAUGGGCGCAAGCCUGAUGCAGCCAUGCCGCGUGUGUGAAGAAGGCCUUCGGGUUGUAAAGCACUUUCAUCGAGGAGGCGUUACUCGCAGAAGAAGCACCGGCUAACUCCGUGCCAGCAGCCGCGGUAAUUC
rnacentral:rRNA from 1 species